AACGAACGCUGGCGGCAUGCCUAACACAUGCAAGUCGAACGAGAUCUUCGGGUCUAGUGGCGCACGGGUGCGUAACACGUAUGCAACCUACCUUAUAUUGGGGGAUAGCCUUUCGAAAGGACGAUUAAUACGGCUUAAGACAGUAGCUGGGCAUCCAGCAGCUGUUAAAGAUUUAUCGAUAUAAGCUGGGCAUGCGUCCAAUUAGCUAGUUGGUGAGGUAACGGCUCACCAAGGCAAUGAUUGGUAGGGGAACUGAGAGGUCAAUCCCCCACACUGGCACUGAGAUACGGGCCAGACUCCUACGGGAGGCAGCAGUAGGGAAUAUUGGGCAAUGGACGCAAGUCUGACCCAGCCAUGCCGCGUGCAGGAUGAAGGCGCUAUGCGUUGUAAACUGCUUUUAUACAGGAAGAAACGACUCUUGCGAGAGGCAUUGACGGUACUGUAUGAAUAAGCACCGGCUAACUCCGUGCCAGCAGCCGCCGCAGUAA
rnacentral:rRNA from 1 species